CCUACGGGUGGCUGCAGUGGGGAAUAUUGGACAAUGGGGGGAACCCUGAUCCAGCGACGCCGCGUGAGUGAAGAAGUAUUUCGGUAUGUAAAGCUCUAUCAGCAGGGAAGAAAGGAAUGACGGUACCUGACUAAGAAGCCCCGGCUAACUACGUGCCAGCAGCCGCGGUAAUACGUAUGGGGCAAGCGUUAUCCGGAUUUACUGGGUGUAAAGUGAGCGUAGACGGUUACGCAAGUCUGGAGUGAAAGGCGGGGGCCCAACCCCCGGCCUGCUUUGGAAACUGGAUAACUGGAGUGCAGGAGAGGUAAGUGGAAGUCCUAGUGUAGCGGUGAAAUGCGUAGAUAUUAGGAGGAACACCAGUGGCGAAGGCGGCUUACUGGACUGUAACUGACGUUGAGGCUCGAAAGCGUGGGGAGCAAACAGGAUUAGAUACCCCAGUAGUC
rnacentral:rRNA from 1 species